CACGUAGGGCGCAAGCGUUGUCCGGAAUUAUUGGGCGUAAAGAGCUCGUAGGCGGUCUGUUACGUCUGCUGUGAAAACCCGGGGCUUAACCCUGGGCUUGCAGUGGAUACGGGCAGACUAGAGGCAGGUAGGGGAGAAUGGAAUUCCUGGUGUAGCGGUGAAAUGCGCAGAUAUCAGGAGGAACACCGGUGGCGAAGGCGGGUCUCUGGGCCGAUAUUGACGCUGAGGAGCGAAAGCGUGGGGAGCGAACAGG
rnacentral:rRNA from 1 species